rnacentral:tRNA from 1 species
AACCUUUUAGUAUAAAAAGUAUAUUUAUUUUAAGCAUAAGGUUUAUUAAGGUUA